rnacentral:misc_RNA from 1 species
GAAUUAGCAAGCACUCAUACAUUUCACUCUGUCUCAUGGGAUCUGAAAGCAAAACUGUUUGCGUGACCGGUGCCUCCGGGUUCAUCGGCUCGUGGCUCGUUAUGAGACUACUCGAGCGUGGUUACACAGUUCGAGCCACUGUGCGCGACCCUGGUAAUGCAAAGAAGGUGCAACAUUUGGAGGAACUACCCAAAGCUAAGACCCACCUCACUCUAUGGAAAGCUGAUCUCUCCGUGGAGGGUAGCUUUGACGAAGCAAUCCAACGCUGCACCGGUGUUUUCCACGUUGCCACCCCAAUGGAUUUUGAGUCCACCGACCCUGAGAAUGAAGUGAUAAGGCCAACAAUAAAUGGUGUAUUAGACAUCCUGAAAUCAUGUGUGAAGGCAGAAACUGUUAGAAGGGUAGUUUUUACCUCAUCUGCUGGAACUGUUGAUGUUCAAGAAACACCAAAAGCAAUGUAUGAUGAAACUUGCUGGAGUGAUUUGGACUUUAUCCUGGCCAAAAAGAUGACUGGAUGGAUGUACUUCGUAUCCAAGACUCUAGCAGAGAAAGAAGCAUGGAAAUUUGCUAAAGAAAAUAAAAUUGAUUUUAUUAGUAUCAUACCACCACUUGUGGUUGGUCCAUUUCUGAUGGCAUCAAUGCCACCCAGCCUCAUAACAGCACUUUCUCCAAUCACUGGUACAGAAUCGCAUUACCACAUUAUAAAGCAAGGCCAAUUCAUUCACUUAGAUGAUCUCUGCUUGGCUCAUAUAUAUUUGUUCGAGAAUCCUAAAGCACAAGGACGGUACAUAUGCUCCUCAGAUGAAGCCACCAUUUAUGAACUUGCGAAAUUGCUCAGAGAAAAAUACCCAGAAUAUAAUGUUCCUUCAAAGUUCAAGGGCAUUGACGAGAACUUGCAGAAAAUAGUUUUCUCAUCGAAAAAGCUGACGGACUUGGGAUUUGAAUUCAAAUACAGCUUGGAGGAUAUGUUUACUGGAGCUAUAGAAACAUGCAGAGCAAAGGGAUUAAUUCCUGUUUCUUAUGAGCCUUCUGUUUCUCGUUAGAAGACAAUUUCUGCUCCGUCUGUUUCUGUUUAUGUUUGAAAAUAAUGAGUUUCUCUGGGAGGACUCCAUUAUCACUUAUUAUUUUAUUUGUCUUCGCCGUGUAGAAAUGAAGUUCGCUGUGUGCGUCUAUUCAAAAAUCAAAAUCAUUACAAGCUGAUAAAGAGGAUUUUUACAUAUCUAACAAUGGGAUGGGCCCUUUGAUUUCCUUUGAAAAAAGAAAAAAAA